AUUUAUGUAGUUUAAUAAAAACAAUAUUUUUUCAAUGUAUAGAUAUUCACUUCAUAAGU
rnacentral:tRNA from 1 species